rnacentral:lncRNA from 1 species
GCACCGCACAGGGGACGGGCACGGCAAGCAUGGUUCAUCGGGGCUGUCACUGCAGCAGUCUUCCACAGGCCUUCGCUGAGAGCAGCAGAGAGCAGAUGGCGCCCAAGGCCGGGACCCUCUGCUGCUCCCACAGGCCUCUCAGGCGGCUCUGCAGGACCAGCCAGCAGCCUCUGAUGCUCCCUUCCUAUUCCAUGGCUUCAGGUGCCAUCCUCUCCACAGAGACGGUUUCUAUUGUGACGCUCUCCCUGACUUGGAAGAAUGGCACUGGGAACAUUCCCCUUGGUGCUGAUGUUGGGGAGGAAAGCAGUUUCCAGUCGCCUGGGGCCAGGACAUGGCGUUCCCAGCUGUUGUGGAGCAUGAAGCACCAGGAUGCCCAUUCAGGUGCCUGCUGAGAUCAGGCUCUUUGAGAAGGAAUCCUGUGGUCACCUGAGGAAGUCCAAAAAAAUUUCGAGGACAUCUCAGCCAUCCAUCCCCUGUUCACUGUGGAGGUUGAACACCGGGGCUCCUGGAGGGGGGGCCCUGGGUCUCCACAGAAGUGCUGGCAGCCACCAUCCACUUCCUGGCCUUCCGUGCCCGCUCCACCUCUGUUCUGUUGUUUACCGUCUCCUUUGUGGGAAUUAUGGAAUAAACAAUCACUCUGGUGUCCUGGAAAAUAAACCUGAUGCUGGAGGGCUUGAGUGUAGGAAUCCAGCUGGGCUCCCGCUGUCUGCCCCAGGGUGCGGAGUUAGGCUUUGCAUAAGCAUGUGAGAUGCCACCCGCUAUGAAACGUGGUCUACACAGCACCAAAAAUCCAUUUCCCACGUUUUCCCUUCAGUGCAGUUAAAUGGCAUGACCCUGUGACUGUCUCCCACGAGAAGAACUAAAAAUUACGCCGGUCCUGCCAAUGCCUACAGGAUACGGUGGCACAAAAUGAUUUCCACGGUCUUAGGAUAUAGACCCAGGCCGACUCGAGAGAUUAAGUGGAUUUCAAACUGUGGUCUUGAGCCUUCUGGGAACUGCCCGAAAGGAGGGGAAGGCGCCAGCCUCGGAGUGGUCCAGCUGCCCGGCCUGUUCACACACUGGCCUUUCAGUUGAAGACAGUGUUCAAAGCUUACCCGUGUAAAUGCCACUGAUCUGUGAACCCCCUUCCUGUCAUGCCCAGGGCCUGGCAGACUGUGGCUAGAAGGGUGGGAUCAGAGCAGUGGGUCACGUGACCUGCGCACGGGUGUGCUGGCCUCCCUGGGCCGCAGUGGCCAGGACAGCCUUCCUUUCCCUUUCCAGCCACACAGGGCAAUCCGUGUGCUCAGAUUUCUGUCUCAUCAAUUACAGAGCGAGCUGCCAACCUGCUGUGCUGAG